rnacentral:lncRNA from 1 species
CUAGGAAGUCUGCUCACAGAAGAAAGUGUGCAGAAAGAGUUACAACUUGUAUUGACAGCUCUUUCUAGAUUGAUGACAAUAAAUAUUCCAUGCCUUGGAGAAGAAACUGGAAUUUCAAGCUGUACUUUGGAAGACAUCUUCUUCAGCUGGGUCCAAGUUUCAUUCCACUCUGAUCUGCUCCCUCACUCAAAGGGGAGUAGUAAUUCCAUCUUUGUCUAUCAAACUGGCCAAUGAGAUGGGGUCACACGACAAUUGCUGUACGACCACCACUAUUGAUGCUGAUUUUCCAUGACUGACAACAACCAAAUAAAAUUCUCUGGUCUUGAUAUGAACCAGGAUGCUACCCUGUCACCCGCAGAAAAACCUGAGCCGAUACAAAUCGCUUCAGCAUCUGGAAAACCAAGGAGAAGUUCCCUCCAGAUGCUUUACACAGUGCCAGAUGUAUAGUAGACUCACCACAUUUUUUGGCAAUAUCUACUGCAGACAUGGAGAGAAGAGUGAUGGCAGAGAGGGUCCUCAAGGAGAGAGAGAGAGAAAGAGAGAUCCAAAAGAGGAUAGAGGAUAGAAAUAUCAAAAUUUGGGCCCAUAUCAUAC